AAGUUUGGACUUAAAUUUGGUAAC
rnacentral:miRNA from 2 species